CAGCAGCCGCGGGAAAACAGAGGGUGCGAGCGUUAAUCGGAUUUACUGGGCGUAAAGCGUGCGUAGGCGGCUUCUUAAGUCGGAUGUGAAAUCCCUGAGCUUAACUUAGGAAUUGCAUUCGAUACUGGGAAGCUAGAGUAUGGGAGAGGAUGGUAGAAUUCCAGGUGUAGCGGUGAAAUGCGUAGAGAUCUGGAGGAAUACCGAUGGCGAAGGCAGCUAUCUGGCCUAAUACUGACGCUGAGGUACGAAAGCAUGGGGAGCAAACAGGAUUAGAUACCCGAGUAGUCCCUGUCUCUUAUAC
rnacentral:rRNA from 1 species